ensembl:lncRNA
GGGCGAAUAACUCUGACGACCGGUCAUGUUUCUUCUUUAGGCUUCGCUGUUUACUUUCCUUGUUCUCAGGAGAGGAAACACUUCGUUUCUGUUUUUGCUGCAACAACCUCAUCUGUGCGUCCCCAGCCUCCAGCAGGGGGUGAAGCUGCCCUGUCCGGUACCCCCUUUCCUGCUGCGCGCUGGCGCCCAUUGAGUUUUGAGCAGCAGUUACUUGCUGGGCACAGUUCCUCACCCAUCAAGUCGUCAGUACCUGCUGAGGCGCCCAGAGGGACAGAAGCCGCCUUUCCAGCCCCAGGCCUGGAGCUGGAGUCCAGCCCUGACAGUCUGACUCUGACGGCUGAUGACCAGCCCAGUCUGGCAGUCUUCUGUGCUCUGUGCACCCACAGGGGGUCGGGCUCAGACCUGCCCUUCAGGCUCACCGCCAACAGGGCGGGUGACAGUGGCUUUUCAAGUCACCAACCGGCUUAUUUUGGCCGGGGAAAGAACGCCUUCUACAAAACAUUUAUAAAGAACCUUUCUUCCGCCCAGGGCGGAAAUCUGGGUUCUUUCACAUCAGAGACAUGGAUCAAAGAAGCGGCGCGCGUGCAGUUGACCCCAAGUCCUAGUUUCGGGGCCGCCCCUGCGCUCCACGGGCAGACGGCCAAGCCGCCUCGCUUGGUGUCCCCCGGCCCUCGGGCUGCAGACGGGGCGGCCGGCGGAGCCAGAAGCCGAGGCGGCCCCGUGUCCCCGUCCGACGGCACCUCCAGCGGCCGCAUAUUCCCGGCUCGGGCUGCCGCUCAGCCGGCUGCUCGGGGAAGCCGUGCCCGCGGGGCAGGCGACGCGCACGGAGGGUCCGGGGCCGGGCGGGAUCUGGGGUCCAGUCCCCGCAGGAGCUCCGAGCCCCUGGACGCCUCUGGAACCUGGGAUCCGGGUGCGCCCAGAGAAGCCGGGAGGCGGCGAGGAGAGAGCGGGGCGGUCUCCGUGCCCCAGAGACGGUUCCGAUGCAUCGCGGGCCAGAGACGCGGAGGACCCGGGAAUCGCGCGGCGGCACAGCGGCCCCUCCGCCGGGCUAAGGGCUUCCGACCGACCUGGCUCGGCCCCGCAGGGAGAAACUGCACCCGCUCCUCGCACGCGGCCACCCACGGGCGCGCGCCCCCGCCCGCUCGCCUCCCCAGGCCCGACCCUGAGCCUCCGGCCGCUGCGGGAACCGGGAGAGGAGGACCGGGAGAAGGGGCGCGCGCGGCACACUCCAGCUCCGUCGCGGGGCCCAGGGCUCAGACGUGCGGGCGCCCGGGCCCCUCUCCAGCUGAGGACCCGAGCGGGAAGCUCCGGGACUGGGGAUCACCGACCGGGAGGGGCGGAAGGAGUCUCCCGGGGCUCCGGGCUCAGCAGCGCUGCUGUUUCCCAAGUGCUUCUUGA